AUGUGGUUGCCACAAGCUCCUUCAUCCUCUGGCUGCGCCAUUCUCAAGCCGGUCUCCGCUCACUCAAGUGUGUUUCAUUGUGAAAGCGAAACUAUUUUGUUUGGCCUUCCAAAAGUGGAUGAUAUCCACUUUGUUAUGCCUAGAGCUGAUCCGUGCUGGUCGCUGAGGAAAUACAUCAACUUUGCGCUGUGGAUCGAAGCAGAUUCCAGCCUGGGGUCGUCACAUGUGGUUGCCGCAAGCCCGCCAGCCACUCCUUCAUCGAAUCCGCUGGCCGGGCCAUUCUCAAGUCCACCUGCCAUUCCUCACUUACUGACGCUGUGUGACGCAUUUUAUGGAGGACUGUUUCCUGAACCUGCAGAGUAGCCUAGAAUGGGUCUGUGCUCAAAGGCUGUUCUAUAAAGUGGAGCAGUUCCAACUUUGCAAGGACAGUCUGGUGCUUCUGACUCACAGCCUGUAAGUACAUUUUUUAUAUGUAAAUAAUUUGUCACUGAUGAUUCAAAUGUGAGUUUUGAGCAGUGUAGAGUAGCGCUUGUUGUUUUUCGUUCCUCCGAUCACAAAUGCAGACAUGGUUUUAUGUUUACGCGGCGCAAUACAACACAACGCGUAAAAACACAGUAUAAGUCAUUAUAAUCCGUAAUUAUGUAGCCAAUCACAACGCACUGGAUAGCUGGCCAAUCAGAGCACACCUCGCUUUUCAGAAUGAUGAGCUUUGUAAAAAUCUACGCGUUUCAGAAAGGCAGGGCAUAGAUUAGAGGGAAACAAUAAUAGUACAGUAUGUGGAAAAUAAUGUGUUUUUUAAAUCUUAAACCGCAUGAACACAUUUCAUUACACCCAGUACACAAAAUAAUGUUCUUUUUAGCAGCAUCAUAUGACCCCUUUAAGCAAGUCACAGUUCUCAUGAAAUAUGAUGAGGAAGAAAGAUCUUUCUGAAGAUGAAAAGUAUGAAACAAUGUCUUGCAAAAGGCAUCAAAACAAACAAUAUUUUCCGAAAAGAAAAUAGAGAUUAUUGAAGUGUCAAAAGAUUUGUGAGUCAGAUAAAGAUUUACUAAGGAAAGUUUCUGUCAAACAAAUGAACUGUAUUGUAAUGGCAGCUUUAAAAACGCCACUGCUGAGCAGCAGACAGGUGUUUAAUCAAUCGAAGUCUCAAGAUCCUCUUCAUGCAGACUGACAGUUGUGUGUAAAGCUGCGUUUCAGUCACUCCUAACCAAACCUCACAAAGAGUAACCUGCACAGUGGCUGUGACAUCAAAUUUUUUUUUAGUCAGUCUAAUCUAAAGGCUUUUGCGAUGUUAAAUUGUGAAGAUUUUGAGUUUUUAUUAAAGGGUGUGUCCAUGGCGCCGUGACAAAUUUCGAUGUCUCGCCAUGGGAAUAGAAGUAGUUGUAACUCAGGCAUAAAAUCUCCGAUCUUCCCCAAACUGCACACGUUCGAUAAGAGUCCUGGCCUGAACACAUCUAAAGGCCAAUAUUCCACUAUAAUCAUAGCGCCACCUGCUGGUAACAGGAAAUGGCUUGUUUUACACAAACUUAAACAUGCAAUGUCCAAUCUGCACCAAACUUCACAUAUUUGGAAAGAGUCAUGGCCUGAAGACAUCUAAACGCCAAUAUUCAGUUAUAAUCAUAGCGCCACCUGUUGGCAAUAGGACACAUCAUGCUUUAUACUAACUCAAACCAUACCAUGUUCAAUCUGCACUAUAGCGCCACCUGUUGGCAAUAGGACACAUCAUGCUUUAUACUAACUCAAACAUACCAUGUUCAAUCUGCACUAAAUUUCAUAUGUUUGAUAAAAGUGCUGGACUGAAGAAAUCUACAUGUCAAAAUCCUGUUAUAGUCAUAGCGCCACCAGCUGGCAGCAGGAAGAUUGGCACAUAUAAAUUAAUUUGACA
rnacentral:lncRNA from 1 species